CACGGCGCCUUGCACGUAUUAGUGAGUGUUGAGCUGGAGUCGAGAGCGAUAGCGACUGCGUCAAGGAAAUGGUACAAUGAUUCCUAAUUCGCCUGUCUUCAUGCUCAGUAAACGGGCACAAGGAAGCUAUUCCAAGGACAAUGGCACGGCGAUGACUUGAGAGCUGACGGCGUAGCAUGCGGAUAUAUUGGUUGAAGAGCCAAGAAAGAAACGAGUGUGGGAACAGAGACCACUGUACAGAAUUGCCCUACUUCUCCUCCUGGAAGUUUCUGGCUCGGAAAAGGGGGGGUGUGGUGGUCUUCGAAGACGUACAGGGGAGGCAUGUCGGCCACGGGCUGAUGAUUAAGCAGACGCACGCUACCUGCUCGAUAAAAUGACUUGCUUCCUUGAGCUGUAUCCAGAAAUCAGGAGGCGACGGUCAAAGAGGAGUUGAUCGAAGCUUGUCCUGCCGGAAACAUGGGCGGCUGGUACAAGUGAGGAAACGAGGAGGAGGAGAUUGAAAUUGACGAGCUCUUGAGCUGGUGGAUUGCUUGCGUUCGACUAGCAAAUGAGGAGGUCAGCAAAAACAGUUUGCUGUGUGUUGUCUACUACAAGUACGGGGAUGGCGAAGACUUUGUGUCCCGACACUCGGAAGAAGUGGCAGCUUAUCAUUGGGAGACAGCACGCCUUGACUGCUUAGUUUUCUUCUAUUGGAGAUCGGCUAUUCUCCCAAUGGGCUGUAAAAGUUUGACAGGAGGCUUUAAGCUUUCUGUCGGUGCCAUUCUGCAGCCUAAAAGAAGAAUCACCAUAGCCAUUCAGCUAAGUUAUCAGAUUACCAUCAUUAUCAUUAUGUAAUGUCCACUUGAUUCUGUUCUAUCAUUGUCUGCUUUUGGAACCAUUAGGUUUUAGUUGAUGAUACAUGGGUUUUAUCUGUCAAGUGAUUGAAUCCUUGCCCAAACUAUCCUUUUCAGGCAAAGAUAAGCCAGGGAACAACACAUAUGCUACUUUGAUGUAUUCUGUUCCUGUCUCCAUUCAUCUCCCACCAGUGAGUAGCUUCUGCCCUCCAUCUUGCAGAGUAAUUGCAGCCAACCCUGUUGGCCUACACAAGGUAGAAAGCAAAGAUCCCAAUGAUCCAGACUUUUAAAAGAGGUUCGAAAAGCAUGGUAAUUUAAUGUUUGGAGGUACAGAUCUGCAAGCUCUGUUCCAUUAUGUUCUUCAGCUCCUUCAGUGUAGGAAUCAGUGAGUUUGAAAUGCCAAGAAAAAUGAAGUCACAUAUGCAUUAAUCAACCCUUUUCCUGAGGGAUGACUUUGUGGUAUGAAAAACCAGUAUUGCAAGUACAUAGGUUUAACUGGUAGGGAAUCCAAUGAAUUGGGUUGGAUCAUGUGCAAUAUAAUUUGAACUCAGAGAUCCUGAUACUGUACUUACUGUGUGCAUGGGGACCUCAGGUAAACUGCAUUAAAUUUGUGUAGCCUCACUAACUUCAAUCUUAUCCAACAAUUUAUUCUUUAAUAUUAAUGCAGGAUAAUUAAAACUGUAAGAUCUGUUUGAUCAAAAUGGAUUUUGACUAUUAGGAAGCAAAUGAUGACUUGGAUAAGCUUCAGAUUUG